GAAGAUGAAAGCUUCUACUUCCUUUUUCUUGGAACACUUGCUGGUGAAACAGUCUUGCUUGGAACCUGGCUACCAUGCCAAGAGGAAGCCCAGCCCCUUCAUGUUUGAAAGAGGGGAUUGAAUGGAAUUGCUGUGCUUACCAGUCAAAAAUAACUUGCAGUUUCCGGAAGAACGUGCAUCUUGCAAGAAGCCCUGGAAUCUGCUGCCCGGCACAGAAUGUCGGUCAGGGUUGAACCCCUCUCUCUCCGGCUUUGCUUGGCUUUCCUUUCACCACCUGUUACCUCAUUUCAUUCAGAAUUCCUGUUGGUUUCUGCGCUGGAAUCCCUGAUUUUCCUCAAGUGUGGAAAACACAGCACUGAUGAGAUACCAGUUGCUUUUCAGCGGUAAACUGACAGACUUGUAAGAAAUCAUGACUGUUGUGUAUUUAUUUUUAUAGUUCUCUUAUGUUUUGGUGAGAAAUACUGGGCUUCUAGUUAGUAUAGCAAUAAACUAUUUCCCUUAUAUUUAGCUCUACUUAUUUACUUUUUUUUUUUUAAUACAGAUAACUCUUGUUUGUUUAUUUUAGAGACAGAGUCUUGCUCUGUCGCCCAGGCUGGAGUGCAAUGGUAUGAUCUCGGCUCACUGCAGCCUUGAACUAACUCCUAAGCUCAAGCGAUUCUCCUACCUCAGCCUCCU
rnacentral:lncRNA from 1 species